AUUGAACGCUGGCGGCAUGCCUUACACAUGCAAGUCGAACGGCAGCACGGGAGCAAUCCUGGUGGCGAGUGGCGAACGGGUGAGUAAUAUAUCGGAACGUGCCCAGUCGUGGGGAUAACGUAGCGAAAGCUACGCUAAUACCGCAUACGAUCUACGGAUGAAAGCGGGGGGAUCGCAAGACCUCGCCGCGAUUGGAGCGGCCGAUAUCAGAUUAGGUAGUUGGUGAGGUAAAGGCUCACCAAGCCGACGAUCUGUAGCUGGUCUGAGAGGACGACCAGCCACACUGGGACUGAGACACGGCCCAGACUCCUACGGGAGGCAGCAGUGGGGAAUUUUGGGACAAUGGGCGCAAGCCUGAUCCAGCAAUGCCGCGUGCAGGAUGAAGGCC
rnacentral:rRNA from 1 species